rnacentral:rRNA from 1 species
AUUGAACGCUGGCGGCAGGCUUAACACAUGCAAGUCGAGCGGGGUGAUGGUGCUUGCACUAUCACUUAGCGGCGGACGGGUGAGUAAUGCUUAGGAAUCUGCCUAUUAGUGGGGGACAACAUCUCGAAAGGGAUGCUAAUACCGCAUACGUCCUACGGGAGAAAGCAGGGGAUCACUUGUGACCUUGCGCUAAUAGAUGAGCCUAAGUCGGAUUAGCUAGUUGGUGGGGUAAAGGCCUACCAAGGCGACGAUCUGUAGCGGGUCUGAGAGGAUGAUCCGCCACACUGGGACUGAGACACGGCCCAGACUGCUGCGGGAGGGAGCAGUGGGGAAUAUUGGACAAUGGGGGGAACCCUGAUCCAGCCAUGCCGCGUGUGUGAAGAAGGCCUUAUGGUUGUAAAGCACUUUAAGCGAGGAGGAGGCUCUUUUGGUUAAUACCCAAGAUGAGUGGACGUUACUCGCAGAAUAAGCACCGGCUAACUCUGUGCCAGCAGCCGCGGUAA